GGAAGUAAAAGCCGUAACAAGGUUUCCGUAGGUGAACCUGCGGAAGGAUCAUUAUCAUGUAAUUCAGUCCCCUUGGCUGUGUUAUAUAUAUACCCACUCUGUGUACCUUCUCCUGUUGCUUCCGCUGGGUGUGUAAUUCGCCCGGCGGAAGGGUAAAAAUAACCUCUGAGUAUUGAUGAAAUCUCUAUCUGAACCGAAUAGAAAGAAAAAUGUUAAAACUUUCAGCAACGGAUCUCUUGGUUCUC
rnacentral:misc_RNA from 1 species